rnacentral:rRNA from 1 species
GGGGAGCAAACAGGAUUAGAUACCCUGGUAGUCCACGCUGUAAACGAUGAGUACUAGGUGUCGUGGGUUACCCCGUUCGGUCCCGCAGCUAACGCAUUAAGUACUCCGCCUGGGAAGUACGCGCGCAAGAGUGAAACUCAACGGAAUUGACGGGGACCCGCACAAUUAGCGGAGCAUGUGGUAUAGUACGAAGCAACGCGAAG